CCUCAUUCUCUCUUAUCUUCUUCUUGAAGUUACCAAAAACAUAAGGACCAAGGGCUAAAUUCUUGGAAUUUUGAGGAAUUUCUUAAAGAAUUGAGGUGUUUUGAAGGGAUUAUGAACUGUUAUCUUCUUCAUUAAUCAAGGAAUUUCAAAUUUAGAGAGGGUUUCCGAGAGGCUCGGAAGAGGAUUGCACUCGAGGUCAUCUUGAGCAUGGUCCGUAUUCGACUAUAAUCAUGCGGGAUAGAGGCCAUGAUGGCUGGGCCACCAUAGGAGUGUUGUACACACUCGCCCGACAUGGACCGUAAGCUUGGUGCCAGGAGUCGUGCCUCGCUCAGUUGGGCCGCUCAGUGCUCUAUGGUGCAGGCAAGGGCAAUGGGAAAGUCAACCAACCAUGAGUUGGAGGGCUUUGGAGUGGUGCAUACAUGUUCGACCUGCUCGCCCGACACGAUCGGGAUAUUUUGAGGGGCUUAGAGUAAAAAUCUACUUUUGUCGCUUAGGCCGACUAUUUUGAGAACAUUAAAAGAAAUUGUAUUUUAUUUAAAUUCUUUUGGGAUCCCUUGUAAAUGUUUAAAGUUUUUAUGAAAAAAUUAAAACCUUUUGACUAAAAAAUUUAGUACAUAGACCUUUAGUUUACUUUAAUUAUACUUUUGAGUCCAAAUGAAUCGCUUAACGAGUUAAGCACUAUUUUAAACACACAGUAUAAUGGUCCUGGAUAAGUAGGGCGUUACAUUCGUGGUCGACAAAUCGAAGAAGAGCACCACCACAACUCACCUCCAUACCUCAUCUUCUUCUACCCAGAUCGGCAGUGUGGGGUUAUGCUAGGCA